AUUGAACGCUGGCGGCAUGCCUAACACAUGCAAGUCGAGCGAGCGGCGGACGGGUGAGUAAUGUAUGGGGACUGCCCGAUAGAGGGGGCUACCUACUGGAAACGGUAGCUAAUACUGCAUACCAUCGGAUAACCGAUAUGGGAUUAGCUAGUAGGGGAAGUAAUGGCUCACCUAGGCGACGAUCCCUAGCUGGUCUGAGUGGACGAUCCGCCAAACUGGGACUGAGACACGGCCCAGACUCCGACGGAGGCAGCAGUGGGGAAGAUUGCACAAGGGGCGAAAGCCUGAUGCAGCCAUGCCGCGUGUAUGAAGAAGGCCCUAGGGUUGUAAAGUACUUUCAGUCGGGAGGCGUUACCGACAGAAGAAGCACCGGCUAACUCCGUGCCAGCAGCCGCGGUAAUAC
rnacentral:rRNA from 1 species